rnacentral:rRNA from 1 species
UACGUAGGGUGCAAGCGUUGUCCGGAAUUAUUGGGCGUAAAGAGCUCGUAGGCGGUUUGUUGCGUCGGCUGUGAAAUCCCGAGGCUCAACCUCGGGUCUGCAGUCGAUACGAGCAAACUAGAGUGUUGCAGGGGAGACUGGAAUUCCUGGUGUAGCGGUGAAAUGCGCAGAUAUCAGGAGGAACACCGGUGGCGAAGGCGGGUCUCUGGGCAACAACUGACGCUGGAGGAGCGGAAAUGCGUGGGGAGCGAACAGG